UCAUCCUGGCAUCACCCGCACCAUUCGGUUCAUCCAGCAGCAUUUCUGGUGGCCCAGCCUUGUUCAAGACAGUCGGGAGUUCGUCCAAGCCUGCGCCGUCUGUGCCAGAGGGAGGUCUUCACACGUGCCUCCAGCUGGGCUGCUGCGUCAAUUGCCUACCCCUAGCCGCCCUUGGUCCCAUAUCGCUCUGGACUUUGUUACCGGUCUACCUCCUUCUGAAGAGGUCCUCAGUUCUCAUCCCUGGUAUGGAAGGAAUUCUGUAAAGCGGUGGGCGCAGCAGCCAGCUUGUCCUCAGGAUAUCAUCUGCAGACCAACAGCCAGACGGAGCGGGCAAACCAAUCCCUUGAUUCUGCCCUCUGUUGUGUUGCCGCACGCACUCCUCAUGGAGCUCAUUCCUCCCAUGGAUUGAAACGGAGCAAGCAGUGGCAGUUCCCGCUGGACGUCUGAGCGGCGCUGACCUGGUCCGCCGCACGCAAUAAACAGCUCGCGAACCGUCAUCGCUCCCCGAUGCCCGAAUACAAGGUAUGGGGCGGCUUCGGCCAACCCCUCCCCACUGCCUUUGUUGCCAUCAUGUGCGCGAGCGACUCCGGACCACGACGGCUGUGCCGUCCGAUCAAAGAGGUUGGCAAUGGAAUCAAGGUCCAAGGGUUUGAAGGAAGACGGGUAAAGAACAGAACCCAAGCUGCUUGAGGUCACCGCAACAGUCUACCAGAAUGUUUUAGAGGAGUUCAUGAUUCCUUCUGCUGAGGAUCUGUAUGGAGACGCAGAGUUCAUCUUCCAGCAGGACCUGGCCCCUGCCCAUACUGCCAGAAGCACCAAA